rnacentral:misc_RNA from 1 species
AACUGUUCCUGAACAAAAGCAUUAGUUGGCCAGACUUCCAACAAGCAGUUCUUGAAGGGCAUGAAAACAGGCAAGGCGAGAUCAGACUAAGAAAACCAAAAAAGUCAAUAUAUACAUAUCCUGCGCCUGAUUGUACGUGCCAAGCUUAAGUUGAUUUACCUGAAGGAUGUCAAGUUAUUAUCUCUAUUCUAUUGAUUUGGCACCACAACUAUUGUGUGUGGCCGUUAUUAUAAAUAAACAAGAAAUUCCAUUUCUCAUUUGAUGGAAGAGCACAGAUAGCCAUUUAGCUAGAGAACGUGAGAGUGAAUUAGAUAAUGAUAGUGUAUUUUGUCAGCUUCUGGGUUAUGGACCACGUUUGUGGACCAGAAAAAUAUUUACUUGUUAAGUAUCAUUUAAUAGGUCACAGCUGUAUCUGUACUUCUGUUUGUGAUACUUUUGGCUUUUUUGAAGAUAACCAAUGCAACGUUUCACAUAAAGCCAAAAGUAUCACAAACAGAAGUAC